rnacentral:lncRNA from 1 species
UUUUCAAGUUUUUUUUUUUUGGUUUUUUAGUAUUUAAGUAGUAAACGUUUUUGGUGUGUUGUUCUUACUUGAAAGACUGUAACAGUGGCCCAUAAAAUGUUGUUGAAGUGUUUGCGAUCACAUUCACAUUGUGGAUGUUUGUUGAUUAUUUC